GACGAACCGUGCAAACGUUGUUCGGAAUCACUGGGCUUAAAGGGCGCGUAGGCGGCUUGCAUAGUCGGUGGUGAAAUCCUGCAGCUUAACUGUAGAAGUGCCUCCGAUACUAGCAGGCUCGAGGGAGGUAGGGGUCUGCGGAACUUCUGGUGGAGCGGUGAAAUGCGUUGAUAUCAGAAGGAACGCCGGUGGCGAAAGCGGCGGACUGGACCUCUUCUGACGCUGAUGCGCGAAAGCUAGGGGAGCAAACGGG
rnacentral:rRNA from 1 species